UGCAGUCGACGGAAAGGCCCUUCGGGGUACUCGAGUGGCGAACGGGUGAGUAACACGUGGGUGAUCUGCCCUGCACUUUGGGAUAAGCCUGGGAAACUGGGUCUAAUACCGAAUAGGACUCCGGACUGCAUGGUCUGGGGUGGAAAGCUUUUGCGGUGUGGGAUGGGCCCGCGGCCUAUCAGCUUGUUGGUGGGGUGAUGGCCUACCAAGGCGACGACGGGUAGCCGGCCUGAGAGGGUGUCCGGCCACACUGGGACUGAGAUACGGCCCAGACUCCUACGGGAGGCAGCAGUGGGGAAUAUUGCACAAUGGGCGCAAGCCUGAUGCAGCGACGCCGCGUGAGGGAUGACGGCCUUCGGGUUGUAAACCUCUUUCGGUAGGGACGAAGCGCAAGUGACGGUACCUACAGAAGAAGCACCGGCCAACUACGUGCCAGCAGCCGCGGUAAUACGUAGGGUGCGAGCGUUGUCCGGAAUUACUGGGCGUAAAGAGCUCGUAGGUGGUUUGUCGCGUUGUUCGUGAAAACUCACAGCUUAACUGUGGGCGUGCGGGCGAUACGGGCAGACUGGAGUACUGCAGGGGAGACUGGAAUUCCUGGUGUAGCGGUGGAAUGCGCAGAUAUCAGGAGGAACACCGGUGGCGAAGGCGG
rnacentral:rRNA from 1 species